rnacentral:rRNA from 1 species
CAAUAGCGUAUAUUUAAGUUGUUGCAGUUAAAAAGCUCGUAGUUGGAUUUCUGGUGGGAGCGGCCGGUCCGCCGUAAGGUGUGUACUUGGUUGUCUCCUGUCAUCCUUGUGGGAACUGCUCUGGCAUUAAGUUGUCGGGGUUAGGGAACACAUCGUUUACUGUGAAAAAAUUAGAGUGUUUAAAGCAGGCUUAUGCCGUUGAAUACAUUAGCAUGGAAUAAUAAGAUAGGACUUUGGCGUCUAUUUUGUUGGUUUGCACACCAAGGUAAUGAUUAAUAGGGAUAGUUGGGGGUAUUCGUAUUUAAUUGUCAGAGGUGAAAUUCUUGGAUUUAUGAAAGACGAACUUCUGCGAAAGCAUUUACCAAAGAUGUUUNCAUUA